rnacentral:tRNA from 1 species
AGGUUUGUAACUCAGUGGUAGAGUAUCACUAUAACAAAGUGAAAGUCAUUGGUUCAACUCCAAUUAAACCUA